GUUGGGAGACUGAAAGGCCGCGGUAUUAUGACCGUGCAAAGGUAGCAUAAUCAUUAGUUUUUUAAUUGAAGGCUGGAAUGAAUGGUUGGACAAGAAAUAAUCUGUCUCAAUGAAAGGUAUUGAAUUUAACUUUUAAGUGAAAAGGCUUAAAUAAUUUGAAGGGACGAUAAGACCCUAUAAAACUUUAUAUUUAAAGGUGGAAAUUAUUUUUAUUUAUAGAUUUUAUUUUAAAAUAUUUGGCUGGGGCGGCGAGGAUACUAUAUUUAGUAACUGUUCUUUUUUUUAACAAUAAUAUUUGGUUUUAUGAUCCUAAAAGGAAUUAAGAUUAAGUUACUUUAGGGAUAACAGCGUAAUUUUCUUUGAGAGUUCUUAUCGACAGGAAAGUUUGCGACCUCGAUGUUGAAUUAAAGGUUCUUUAUAGAGUAGAGACUAUAAUAGAGGGUCUGUUCGACCUUUAAAA
rnacentral:rRNA from 1 species